CCCCCCUUCUUUUUGAUAACUUGUAAACGGUCAAGAUCCCCAUGCGGAAGCCAUAUGCAUGUAUAUUCUUGUAUGGGACCAUAAAACAAAUCAAAUGAAAUAUAAGGCGAGUCCCCUGGGGUCACCCCCACCCCCUCCUGUUUACGAACUUGUAAACGGUCAAGAUCCCGGCCCUUAAACCAUAUAUAUUCUUGUACAGGACAAAAAAACCAAAUCAUAUGAAAUAAAGGGAGAGUCCCCUGGGGAUCACCCUCCUUUUGAGAACUUGUAAACGGUCGAGAUCUCCACCCCUUAACCAUAUAAAUUCCUGUUCGUAAUUUCAAGAAAAUUUGAAUGACAUACAGGGUCAAUCCAUAGACGUCAUUAAUGCAUAUCAUAAACCAAUUUGUACAGGACAUUGCGCAAUGUCAAGCGACAAUGGGAAUGACGAAUUAUUGGAGCUUUGUUUGGGAGACUUCGUAACAGCAUUCUGUUACAAUUAUUUCUUGUUACUGAUAAGUUUUAUAGAUUUUGAAAUGACAUUGUAUUAAUGAUAAAUACAAUUUUGGAAUUUUUUCUUCUUUUCUUUGGUAAAUUGUUUGUAGAAUUUUGUGGCAAGUUUGUUUGUUAUUCUAUAAAAACUAAUUUUCUGAAUGCUAUAUAUUUUUUUUUGAUGAAGUAAACUCCUUUAAAAACUAAGCUUAUAUUGUCUAUUAAUAAACAUAUAUUUAGAUUUCUGAUUUUGGGCCCAGUUUUCCAGUUGGUCUAAAUUGGGGUCCAAAAUUAAACUGUUUUUGAUUUCAACAUUAAUUGAAUAUAUAUAGGGUUCUUUGAAAUGCUUCAUCUAAACCUGUAUUUCUUUUCAUUAUUAAUAAGAUAAUACCACAUUGAGGUCCAAAGGGUCCUAAAUUACACUUUUAAUUAAUUUCAUCAAAAAUUGAAUUCUUUGGUUCUUUGAUAUGCUGAUUCUAGCAAUGUUUGAGUGUUAAAUCAUAUCUAAUUUUAGAGAACUUAGUCAUCACUGGUUGUUGUUAUUAUAUUAUUGAUUAUAAUUUGAAAAAUUGCAUCAUAUCUUAUUUUAGAGAACUAUUUAUCCAGUUUGAGUUAUUUCCCUUUGCACAGAAAAUAUUAUGGAUAAAAUUAACCUGUGUUUCAUUUCAACAUAAAUUAAAUAUAUAUAGGGUUCUUUAAAUUGCUUAAUCUAAACCUGUAAUUAUUAGAUUUUUGGGACCAGUUUUCAAGUUUGUCCAAAUCAGAGUCCAAAAUGAAACUUCGUUUGAUUCAACAAAAAAAUUAUUUAUGGGGUUCUUUGAAAUGCUGAAUCUAACCAUGUAUUGAGAGAUUUUGGAUUGUGGGCUUCUUUAUCAAAUUGGUCCACAUUGAUGUCCAAAGGGUCUUAAAUUAAACUUUUGUCUGAUUUCAUCAAAAAUUGAAUUCUUGGGGUUCUUUGAUAUGCUGAUUCUAAUAUGUACUUAGAUUGUUGAUAUUGGACCAUUAUAGGUAUUUAAAUGUCCAAUUUCAAGUAUUUCAGUUCUUAAACCACAUUCAUUUUGUGUCACAAACCUGUGAUGUGUCAAAUAUUCAAUCACAAUCCAAAUUCAGAGCUGUUUUAAGCUUAAAUGUAGUGUCCAUACUAGUUCAACUGUUCAGGGUUCGACCUCUGCAGGAAAAUCCGGUUUGCUGUCACUCGGACAGCCUCUUGUUGUUGUUGUUUUUAUUGUAUUUAGAUUAAGAAAAAUAUGGUCAUAAUAAUUUUGUUUUUUACUUUUAACAUGUUUAAUGUGGAAGAACCGCAUAUACAAAUAUUAGUGUUGUUGUACAUAAGGAAACAAUCGUUGAGUUUUGAGUAUUAAAAAAAACUUGCAUGUACCUUUCAAUUCUACAGGUAUGGCAUAAAUACUAAAAUAUUACGUGAGUUUAAUGGCAAUGCUUUCUUCUUCCUUUCUGGCUUGUUAAUUUUUAGAAACCUUUUAGUUAAUUUUUGAUUAAAAUAUGCUUUUGUAAAGUUUAUUUGAACUUAGAAUUAAUGAAAAUGAAUGUGAGGUUAUUACAGAUCUGUAUUUCUUUUCUUGUAUGCUAGGUGUUGUAAUAUAAAAUGAUAUGAACUGUGAACAACAAUUGAGACAUCAAUAUCAGACUGUUUUAAAUGUAAAGUUUCGAACCGAAUAAAAGCAUGAUAUAGAUAUGAGUUUUAUACCUUCAGCUUCAGUGUUUUGAUACAUUUAUAAAUAUACUGUCAACUAUCAACCUUGGUAACACCAUAUCAUUGCAUGAUAGGCUUGAAUAUAAAUGUACCAUAUAAUUGCACAAUAGGCGUGAUUAUACCAUAGAAUUGCAUGAUAGGCUCGAUUAUACCAUAUAAUUGCAUAAUAGGCGUGAUUAUACCAUAGAAUUUGCAUUUCAGUCAUAAUGUUGCCAUAUCAUAUUUGUUAGGCGUUAAAACGCCACAUCAUUCAUUCUAUGCCAUACAUUGUUUUAAUGCCUUCAAUUUUCUGAUUGUUAUUAAUAAGAAUUAAGACGUCUUUUGUAAGAUACAACAUAUAUUGAAUUGUACUCAUUUGUUUUAUAUUUUCAUUAAAAAAUUUCGUAAUACA